rnacentral:rRNA from 1 species
GACGAACGCUGGCGGCGUGCUUAACACAUGCAAGUCGAACGGAAAGGCCUCUUUCGGGGGGUACUCGAGUGGCGAACGGGUGAGUAACACGUGAGUAACCUGCCCUUGACUUUGGGAUAACUUCAGGAAACUGGGGCUAAUACCGGAUAGGAGCUCUGCUGCAUGGUGGGGGUUGGAAAGUUUCGGCGGUUGGGGAUGGACUCGCGGCUUAUCAGCUUGUUGGUGGGGUAGUGGCUUACCAAGGCUUUGACGGGUAGCCGGCCUGAGAGGGUGACCGGCCACAUUGGGACUGAGAUACGGCCCAGACUCCUACGGGAGGCAGCAGUGGGGAAUAUUGCACAAUGGGUGGAAGCCUGAUGCAGCAACGCCGUGUGCGGGAUGACGGCCUUCGGGUUGUAAACCGCUUUCGCUCAUGACGAAGCUUUGUGUGACGGUAGUGGGUAAAGAAGCACCGGCUAACUACGUG